AUGCAUACAAGUUUGCUAAAGCAAAAGCUAAAUAAGAACCAUGUACCUUGGGAUGCGAGAGAAAGCAGUCCCUGCACUUUCUGCCUGUCUUUGUGGCAGCUCUGAUUGAAUAGGGGAAUACAUCU